rnacentral:misc_RNA from 1 species
UCGCUCGAGGAACCCGUGCGUGUGGAUUUGCUUAUAGAAUUUUAAAAUUACAAUUUUCAAUCGAACCGCGCCGACUAACGCCAGGCCUACCGAUCAAGUCCAGAUCCACGCGCGCUUCUUGGUUUCUCGCUUAUAAAAAUUACUCGGACUUGUAGUCGUGCAUUUUAUAUACUUUUCAUUGGCGCGUGCGUUGGCGAAAGUUUUCCUUUGCUUUGAUCCGGCGGAGGUAAUCGAGCACACAGGGAGCCAAGACUCCCAGCUACGAUACUUUCAUAAAAGUGGCCGUUGCCGCUGAAGUAGGGGAUUUACUCGUACCCGCCAUAUACCGGGUGUAAAGCGCAGAGCUGUAUCGGUGGAGUGACGCCUGUUGCGCUCACAAGGUCGCGCAUUCAUAUUACACGUAGCUGCCGCAUGUGUGUGUGUAUGUGUGUGUGUGUGUAUACAUGCGUGUACGUGCAUAUGUACCUCCGCGUGAGUAAACACGACCACGUAGGUGAGGUGUGUUUCACAGAUCCGAAAUCAGAGCCGUAGGCAAUCGCGCGGCGGCCCCUGUCCGAUGCGAUAACUGAGGACAGACUGAAGAAUGAUAAAAUGCAGUCAAACGGGUGAGAAGAGUGUUUCGGGAACGUAAUCGAUUAUCGACGCGAACAAUUACAAGACCGACAAGACCAACCUACAGGCGCAAUAAACCGGCACACGGCCGAGUCGCAAGAAGCGUGAGUGUGAUCUACGUGAUUGAGAUUUAUUUAUCUUUGUGCGUAGUACGAGCUAAUUGUAAUUUCGCAUGUGAUAUCUCGCGCCAGCGGCUCGGAGGAAUGCGGUAGACACAACGAGUGAUCGCAUAGAAAAUGAAUCGUCGUGGUUGCAUUACAAUACCGACUGUGCAUCAAGUGUGACGCAAUUAACGACGUUCGAACGAAUCGCGCGCGAUGAACGCUUCAUUGGGAAAUAUCUACGCAAUUUGUGUCGCGUAUACAAAAAUGUAUCUGAGCGUUCAAUUCGACCAACUCAAAUCCGCCAUCCGCGGCCCGUCGAUGCGCGGUAUUUUCGGCAUCGCCGUGUCCGACCUCACGACGACGAUCGACUUUGUCGAGAUGCGUGCGCGUCCGCGCGUCGUUCGGAGCGCAUAUUUGAAUACGUGCGUGUGUGAGCGCGAUGUUCCGCGCGUAUCUAAUUGUAUUGAUCGCACGUGAUAAUAUGCGAGGAUAACUCUGAGCAUCUCAAGGCCUUCGGGAAACGCGAAGCGCGCGCGACCUUCGUCGUCGUGUUUGUAUUCGGUAAAUUGCAGUUGCGGAAAACGAGUCUGAUUUACCGUCGCGUCGACGCGCGGCUCUUCGUGAGCGCGUUGCCUGGAUAUUUUUCAACUCACACACAUACACACACACCCAUAUAAGGUAAUAUGCGCGAUGAGGUAAUCGGCAAAACGUGAGAAUAAAAAAUCCUACACGUCGCAAAAAAUUGAAUUAUGAGAGAUAAUUGCAGCAUGAGAGAGAAGUACAAAUCUCUCAGCACAUCGUCUUGCAGACGAUGCGCUGAUAUACCGACGACGGAAACGGGCUUUCCCGCGGCAGCUAAAGGCAGCGCUCGAAUUCGCGGAGGCGCGAAGGGUGAAAGCGGGUAACGACGUCCUGCGACAGAUGGCGGUAGCAAGGAGGACAACCCCUAUCUUGCUGCCAAACAACCCUCGCAGUUGACGAACAGCUGUUCAGCACCGCCAUGGCGCACGCGACGUCGGGACGACAAAAACACUUGAAACGCCUGCAGCUGAGCCGUGCCGAAAAAAUCUUUCCGUGUCGCGACACAACGUACCUCCUCGUCAUAAACUUUCGAUCGUAAUAAGCGGGCGCGCGGGCGCGCUCGGGACGGUGCUUCGGCUGCUGCGAAUCGCAUGUUUCCCGGGUGGAUGUCAACGUGACGUCUCCGAGAGACACGCUCAAUGCGUAUCUCUGGAUCUCGCCAGGCUGAAUUUCGCGAGUGUUUGGCGGCGGAAACGAGUGUCCAGCGUUACAAUGGGAUGAAUAAGCGCCACGACGCGCGUUGCGACGGCGGUGCGCACGGUCGCUCGUACACGAUGCGAUUACGUCCCGGGGAAAAAAAGGAGAGUUUCCACUUUCGAGAGUCCAAUCCUCACGAGGGGCAUGUAAUUCGUCGUGUAAGCACGUCGACGAGAUGCUCAGAGUACCGGCGCGCCAUGGAAUGUCAGCUCAAAAGAGACAAGACAAACAAGGGGACAAGGGAGUUGUCUACUGACAAAGCCGUCAGGCGCUGCUAUGGACUAUGUACACGAUUCGAUCGGACCGGUUUGACGUACCGUUGGAAUCCAUCGGAGGCAGAAUUUCAUUCUGAGACGGCGGGGACAGUGCGGGUCCGUAAAUGACAGUGGAAAGAGAGGAGGGAGCUGCGAUUCACCACGAACAGGGACGAAGGCUCCGCACGGUAAGCUGUAAAUCUUGACCUCGAAGCUGCAAGAGGAACAUCGAGUCGGUGCGACAUUACCGGAGUGUGGAUCAACAGCCCGCCUGCUUUUCUCCUCGUCACGAAGGUGUGUCACGGAAUGCAUCCUGUUCCCCGACGCCGCGCGAAAAGGGUCUUGUCGACGCGCGGAGAUAAACUCGGAAGAUUGUUUCGCGUAGGAAGCGCCGCGCUUGUACAUCGUUCCUAAUUGACAGAUAGAAGAGAGGAAGAGGAAGAGACCAGGCGACGUUGCGCGAAAUAAAGAAGGAAGGAAGGAAGGAAAGAAAGAAAGAGAGAGAGAGCGGGAGAGAGAGAGAGCGAGAGAGAGAGAGAGAGAGAGAAAGUUUCCCGGCAACGGGAAACUGGAAGCUGGUAUGAGAAGAAGAGGGGCGGCGGACGGGCAAAGACGCGGAGCAGCGUUCGAAAUUUACGAGUGAGCCGGUUUGCUUGCACGUCGUGCGGGGUCCAAGGUGGCGUCUAGGGGCGGUCGUGCCGGCGUAACAAAUGGUCCAGCCGUGAACCGGCUCGCCGUGCAACGACACCGGAAGCAGGCGGCAGCUAUCCAAGCGAGAGCAGCCAUCCCCAACGAGGAUCCGCAAGAAUUCGAGCACGCGGAUGUGAAGGUCUUCAAGCUACCUCUUCGUCCUCCGUCUGUCGCUGCAACGCGGCUAGCGGGCUGAAUUGUUUUGUUUCGGAUUUGCGCGCGCACAAACACCCCCGCGGACCAACGACGGACUCGCGCACGUUUUGCAGAAACGUCGCCCGAGGACAACAUGAACCUGAAUCGUCCGCGACGAGACGGCGUGCUGCUCGUCACAUCGUUUGCGUGGUCGUGAGACGUGGAGCGAGAGAACGAGAGAGAGAGAGAGAGAGAGAGAGAGAAAGAGAGAGAAAGAGAGAGAAGGAGGGAAGAAAGAGGAGAGAGAAAGAAAACGCCUGUCGCGCGUGCCUGUCCUAGCCGUGUGCCACUCGCGACUCGAGCCGACGAGGAUGACGUCGGGGUGCCGCCGCGCUACUCGGUGUCGCCGGGGUUCCCGAGAGGUUUGACUCCACCACGACACAAUCCAGCCCAGAUGGGUUAAGAGCCGCGGCCGCGAUUGACGGCGCGCGAUCUCGUGCUGCUUGUGAAAUGGCGAUCGCACCGCGCUCUCGAAAGUGCAACAAGUGGUGCCCAGAUUGUCGACGCUGAGACGUCAUCGAUGUUACUCGACAGACGACGGACGACGAGGGGACUUGAUCCGGGACCGAUCAGGCUCGCGACUCCGGCUGGAUCGAAGUGCUCGAAGCCACCGCAGCUGCUCGAGGAGAAGGAGGUGGUGGGCGAGGAUCGACCGUGUUACCUCGCGCGCGCGCGCGCGCGCGCGCGAUGCCGGCGGGAUUAAGUGUCUGAUGAACUUUGAAUCCGUUUCUCGUCCCGAACACGACCGUCUCGAAAUUUCUUCGUUAGGGCUAGAUCCUCGCGGCCUCUCGGGCUUGCUAAAGUAGAUUUACCUCACCGGGGGCGAAACGAGUCUCGGCUACGGUCCCGAGAUCCGAUGAUGCUGAUCGUUAGUCUUAUCAGAGACCGCUUUGUUGACCGAUCCCCGAAGAUCGGCCCCAAGAAUGAUCAGCAGGCACACGGCCUCGAGCUAGGAUCUUAGCCUUGAUUCCUCCAACGACGUCGUCGCGCCUUCUCGCGCGGAAAUUACGCGCGGAUCUCAAUUCAUUCACACGGCGACUCGGAUGAAGCUCCAGGACUCGCGGCCAACAUGAAGAAGAACAGCGCCGCGGCGCCGUCGUCGACGUGUGCGAAGAAAGAACACAGCGCGACUCGAUGCUGCGCGCGGAUAGCCGGGGCGAAUGUUCGUUUGCGAGCCCGUGCUACCGACGGCAGCGUUCGAUGCUGAACGAACGAAGGGGACACUUGCCGAGGGUCGACGACGACGACGACGACGACGACGACGUCGACGACGACGACGACGACGACGAUUCUUGGUGCUGCAGCCGGAUCUCUCGCAUCCGGAUCGCGGAUCCGUUGAAUAGGCUCGCGCGCCGCCGGCUGAGCACGCUCGAGGACCUCCGCGAUAAUCCACAAGGCGUUGUCGCAUCCGCCGAGACGACACGAAUAGUCGAAUGACACGAUAGU